GACGAACGCUGGCGGCGUGCUUAACACAUGCAAGUCGAACGGAAAGGCCCCUUUUGGGGUACUCGCUUGGCGGACGGGUGCGUAACACGCGCGUAACCUGCCCUUGACUUCGGGAUAACUUCAGGAAACUGGGGCUAAUACCGGCUAGGAAUCCUUGCUGCAUGGUGGGGGUUGGAAAGCUUCGGCGGUUUUGGGUGGACUCGCGGCUUAUCAGCUUGGUGGUGGGGUAGUGGCUUACCAAGGCUUUGACGGGUAGCCGGCCUGGGUGGGCGACCGGCCACAGUGGGACUGGGAUACGGCCCAGACUCCUACGGGAGGCAGCAGUGGGGAAUAUUGCACAAUGGGCGGAAGCCGGAUGCAGCAACGCCGCGGGCGGGAUGACGGCCUUCGGGUUGGAAACCGCUUUCAGCAGGGGCGAAGCUUGUGGUGACGGUACCUGCAGAAGAAGCACCGGCUAACUACGUG
rnacentral:rRNA from 1 species